CUACAUUAUAUUGAAACACCGGUUCCCGCACGAUCACCGAAGUUAAGCAACGCCGAGCCUGGUCAUUGCCUAGAUAGUUGACCGUUUGGGAAUACCGGGUACUGUAA